rnacentral:tRNA from 2 species
GCGCUCGUAGCUCAGUUGGAUAGAGCAUCUGACUACGAAUCAGAAGGUCGCAGGUUCGAGUCCUGCCGAGCGCG